UCUUCAAACUUCUAGUAGUUCUUACAAUUAAAAACAAACACAGAACAACCUUUGUAGAUAAAGCUGAGCAUUGUGACAUUUGGGGCACUGUAAGGGAGAAAUGGAGGCAGUGUUAGCAAGGAAGCAAUUGACCUUAUUGCUGACCUUUCUAACCAAAAGAGAAUAAAUUACACCAAAAUGAAAACCUUGACACUUUUUUUUUUCAAGAGUAUGGUUUUGCUCCAUUACAAAGACACUUAGAAAAUUAAACAUUUGCAUGAGGCUUUUCCCCCUUAGGAUUGUAUUCAUAGAGUAAGGGAGGUUCAUUUUCAACUCAUCCCUCCCAUUCCUCUCAGAUAUUUAUCAAGUAAUGUGAUUUGUAAUCCAAACAACAAAAAGUGCCUUAAUCCAGAACAUACACACAGACACAAAAGCACUAGACUGAUGGUGUUUGCACUUAACUAAAACAUUGAGUUCUUCUCUAAAACAGUGCGGCUUGCACACAUAAAGUCUAGAGUGUAGAAUUGUAAUGGAAUGAUAAACAUAUCUGUGAUUCUAUCUAGCCAUAGAAUCAGAGAAACAGCACAUUCCUGUCUGUCCUUUGGGGUGAACACUCUUACCUACUUUCCCCUUAAAAGAGGCCUGCCUCAGGACGCACAUAUGUUUCCUUCUGUGCGAAAAGCCCAUUGACAUUUACACAUAAUUGAAGCCAACCUGGAACUUGGCUCUUAUCCCUUUGUUCGUGAGGCAUUGUCCACAGUCUCUUAAGAGGAUGGAGUUUAGUUCUUAAGGUAGUUGCUUAAGAAUCAAGAGUCAUGGAACAAAAUGGAGCUUCAUAUAUACAUUGUUAUGAUAUACCAGCUUCCUUUAUGGGGCUGCUACCCCAGUUUCUUGGGAUAUUGCUGUGUGCUUGGUUUAUUUUUGUUGUAAAAUUUGAACGUUCUUACUAAGUUAAUUAUGCUGUAGCCUUGUUGAACUGGAAAGGGAUCUGCAUAGACAUUUUAGUCUGAGGCUUAGAAUCUCUCCUUUAGACAAACCUCCUCAACCUUACUAAAGGUUUAUGGGAAAACUCCAUUUUGACUAACAUUAGAUGUUAACCAUGAAGAUUAGCUGGCCUAUGUGUGAAGCUAGGCAAAUU
rnacentral:lncRNA from 1 species